GACGAACGCUGGCGGCGUGCUUAACACAUGCAAGUCGAACGGAAAGGCCCUGCUUUUGUGGGGUGCUCGAGUGGCGAACGGGUGAGUAACACGUGAGUAACCUGCCCUUGACUUUGGGAUAACUUCAGGAAACUGGGGCUAAUACCGGAUAGGAGCUCCUGCUGCAUGGUGGGGGUUGGAAAGUUUCGGCGGUUGGGGAUGGACUCGCGGCUUAUCAGCUUGUUGGUGGGGUAGUGGCUUACCAAGGCUUUGACGGGUAGCCGGCCUGAGAGGGUGACCGGCCACAUUGGGACUGAGAUACGGCCCAGACUCCUACGGGAGGAAGCAGUGGGGAAUAUUGCACAAUGGGCGGAAGCCUAAUGCAGCAACGCCGCGUGCGGGAUGACGGCCUUCGGGUUGUAAACCGCUUUCGCCUGUGACGAAGCGUGAGUGACGGUAAUGGGUAAAGAAGCACCGGCUAACUACGUG
rnacentral:rRNA from 1 species